ACCCAUCCACUACUGUGCUUUGCUUUUUCAUCCCUUGAUUUCUAAUAUUCUUUUUCCUUCCUUUUCCCCCAUUACACACUAUUCUCCACUCUCCCUCGUUAGAUAUAUUCAGAUGUUGGGUCGCUUUCCUGUAUCUGACUCUCAUGACAACAACGACCCAUAUCCUUUCCCUUUAAUUUGCCCAUGAAUAAUACACACAUACAUACACAUAGAUAUACAUACAUGCUAUAACUCAUUCCUCUCAUCCUGGCCUCCACAAUCCAUAAUUUCUGCAGCUAGCUCCUUUUUCUUUUCUUUUCUAUUAUUAUGCUCCACCUUCUCUCUCACUCCAUUUCCUAGUUUUGCUACCUGCAGUUGCACUCCAUUCCAGGGCCUUUCCAUUAUUUCUUUUUCCAUUUUUUUCCUAAUUUUUUUUCUUCUCAUUUAUUUUCUAAGAUUAGGGUUUUAAGUAAUACUUGCAUCUUUUGCAAAUUUAGGGUUUGUACUUCACUAACCCAACAUAAUUACUCUCUCCAUGAAUAUUAAUGUUAAUAGUACUAGAGGAGCACAUACAUAUUUUAGCGGUUAGGUUAAGAUAAAUGAAUUAGAUCCAGAAUCACACUUUGCUUUUACUUUUAUUGGUUCUCUCUCUUUUUGUACCUACUAUGUUAACAUACUAUUUUAGUUCAUAUAUGUAUAUAUGUUUACUUGAUAUAUUCACUUGUAUCAUAUCUUAUCCGGGAAAUUGGUUUCUAUGAUCUAAUGUCUUUCUGUCAAAGUUUCCAGGGUUAAUUCUUAUAACGUCUUUUAGUUUUUUCCCCCUCUCCUUAGGACUUGCUUUAUAGACUAUAAUUCAUCAGUCGACACAUAUGCACAUGCUUUCCUGCUUACAACAUGAUGGAGCCUGCCGUGUUUCAGACCUGGUGGUGGGACUUGGAAGGAGAAACUUCGACUACCAUGAGUUCCUUUCAUCACUCGUUUCAUUUCUGUCAGUAAUUUGGUUGAGUUGUUGUUUAUUUACUUUCUCUUUCAUCCUAUUGGGCAUCAUGUUGGUUCCUAAACCUAGAAUCACAAAGCUUGGUUUAUUAGGAACUAAUUUGGUGUUUGUCAUAAUGCUGCUUCAGUUGACUGAACCUUGGGCAUAGGCAGAUGGUUAUACUUAUAUAGUGCACGAUUAGAUCGGCUCAAAACAGAAGUAAUGUAGUUAAUGCUGAAGAUUAAUUAUUUUGCUUUGUUAGUGAUAGUGAACUUUUUGAUUAAUUUUCUAAUUUGGGGAUGUGGUAAAUUGCUGGUAGGAAGGAAGGAAGGAAGGAGGGAAUUAAUGGAAGUUAGAGAAAUGGCAGGAGAGAGAGCUUCCUUCAGCCCACUCACGGAUGGGAAUAAGGGGGUUGAACUAGCUGCCGACUCAUUCAUUCAAACACUCAGUAGAAAAUAGAUUGGAGAUUUUUACUACUGUGAUUGUGUGAAUGAAGCGGGAGAUAAUUUUGCAUCCCUCUUUCUCCAUGCUUGGACUGAAGGGAGCUCCUUCUUUCUGUUGCCCUCAUUUAUCUAUCUGUCUGUACCACCCAAAAACCCUCAUUUAUCUAUCUGUCUGUACCACCCAAAAACUGUUCUUUUCUCUUGUUUAAUUUGUGUGCCACCAUGUAAACUAAAUUAUCGGUUUCAUUCAUUUGAAAUUUUUGAUUGACAUUAAGUUAAAAAAGUUUGAAUUUUAACAAUUGACUAUAUAUAGGCUUUUACCGAUAUAGCCUACUUGUCCCAAAUUGCAUGUUUUAUUUUUGAGAAAGAGACACCAUCAAUCUUUCAUCUCAUUAUCACACGUUCAGAUACCCUACCAACUUGGCUAGGUCAUAUCAUCACCGAUUAGCCUCUCUUUCUUUUUAAGUAAAUUUAUACAAACUGGGGUUGGAUCAUUAAUGACAUGGCUGGUCAAAGAGUUGGUACUUCUCUGACAUGGGGUAACUGGUUUUCUCGCUUGGUAUUUCAAUUUUUUUUACUAGACAGGAGAACCAAACUUUGGAGAAAAGUGUAGCGCAUGCAAUCUAACUUAUCAAAUGGGAAUGGUUGGUUAACUACUUAACUUUUGCAGGGGCCAUUAUUGCAGACAUAUUCAGAAAAGUCUAUCUUGUAUUGCAUGUAUUGGCCUUUGCUUCUCUAACUUAUAUUAUACACCUGUAUAUACCUCCAGGCUCUACCACUACUCCAGUCCACUCUGAUGGAACUAUUAAAAUGGUCUACAAGAGAUGUGGUUUGAUGAAUUAAUGAGAGACAAUGAAAGGUCUGCAAGUAAAUACUGAUGUCUCUUGAGCUUGACUGUGCUAUCUGCUCUCAGCCAUGUGUCUUUGUUCCUAAAAUUUACACUUGCAUUUUUGGUCAGACAUUGUACAGUUUGGUGCACGUGUUAUCAUGUGUUUGUUUCAAGGUGUGUUUCAGUGGUAUUGGUUUUGGUUUCAAAGUAAGUGAGGGCCAUAGGAAAAAUCUGUUUGAUUACAAAAGUUGCAGAAACAUCCGGCUUUUACGGCUAGUUUAUGUGUGUUUCAAGUACAAGAUUUAACAUAAAAAUAUAUCUGUGGGGGUUUUGGUUUCCGAGAA